rnacentral:rRNA from 2 species
AGAGUUUGAUCAUGGCUCAGAUUGAACGCUGGCGGCAGGCCUAACACAUGCAAGUCGAGCGGUAGCACAGGAGAGCUUGCUCUUUGGGUGACGAGCGGCGGACGGGUGAGUAAUGUCUGGGAAACUGCCUGAUGGAGGGGGAUAACUACUGGAAACGGUAGCUAAUACCGCAUAACCUCGCAAGAGCAAAGAGGGGGACCUUCGGGCCUCUCGCCAUCAGAUGUGCCCAGAUGGGAUUAGCUAGUAGGUGAGGUAAUGGCUCACCUAGGCGACGAUCCCUAGCUGGUCUGAGAGGAUGACCAGCCACACUGGAACUGAGACACGGUCCAGACUCCUACGGGAGGCAGCAGUGGGGAAUAUUGCACAAUGGGCGCAAGCCUGAUGCAGCCAUGCCGCGUGUGUGAAGAAGGCCUUCGGGUUGUAAAGCACUUUCAGCGAGGAGGAAGGCGGUAAGGUUAAUAACCUUAUCGAUUGACGUUACUCGCAGAAGAAGCACCGGCUAACUCCGUGCCAGCAGCCGCGGUAAUACGGAGGGUGCAAGCGUUAAUCGGAAUGACUGGGCGUAAAGCGCACGCAGGCGGUCUGUUAAGUUGGAUGUGAAAUCCCCGGGCUUAACCUGGGAACUGCAUUCAAAACUGACAGGCUAGAGUCUUGUAGAGGGGGGUAGAAUUCCAGGUGUAGCGGUGAAAUGCGUAGAGAUCUGGAGGAAUACCGGUGGCGAAGGCGGCCCCCUGGACAAAGACUGACGCUCAGGUGCGAAAGCGUGGGGAGCAAACAGGAUUAGAUACCCUGGUAGUCCACGCUGUAAACGAUGUCGAUUUGGAGGUUGUGCCCUUGAGGCGUGGCUUCCGGAGCUAACGCGUUAAAUCGACCGCCUGGGGAGUACGGCCGCAAGGUUAAAACUCAAAUGAAUUGACGGGGGCCCGCACAAGCGGUGGAGCAUGUGGUUUAAUUCGAUGCAACGCGAAGAACCUUACCUACUCUUGACAUCCAGAGAAUUAGCUAGAGAUAGCUGAGUGCCUUCGGGAACUCUGAGACAGGUGCUGCAUGGCUGUCGUCAGCUCGUGUUGUGAAAUGUUGGGUUAAGUCCCGCAACGAGCGCAACCCUUAUCCUUUGUUGCCAGCGAUUCGGUCGGGAACUCAAAGGAGACUGCCGGUGAUAAACCGGAGGAAGGUGGGGAUGACGUCAAGUCAUCAUGGCCCUUACGAGUAGGGCUACACACGUGCUACAAUGGCGUAUACAAAGAGAAGCGACCUCGCGAGAGCAAGCGGACCUCAUAAAGUACGUCGUAGUCCGGAUUGGAGUCUGCAACUCGACUCCAUGAAGUCGGAAUCGCUAGUAAUCGUAGAUCAGAAUGCUACGGUGAAUACGUUCCCGGGCCUUGUACACACCGCCCGUCACACCAUGGGAGUGGGUUGCAAAAGAAGUAGGUAGCUUAACCUUCGGGAGGGCGCUUACCACUUUGUGAUUCAUGACUGGGGUGAAGUCGUAACAAGGUAACCGUAGGGGAACCUGCGGUUGGAUCACCU